rnacentral:sRNA from 1 species
AUCGUCAUCCCUGCGCUUGGCGCAGGAGGGAGGAUCCAGUUC